rnacentral:rRNA from 1 species
GACGAACGCUGUCGGCGUGCUUAACACAUGCAAGUCGAACGGAAAGGCCCUGCUUUUGUGGGGUGCUCGAGUGGCGAACGGGUGAGUAACACGUGAGUAACCUGCCCUUGACUUUGGGAUAACUUCAGGAAACUGGGGCUAAUACCGGAUAGGAGCUCCUGCUGCAUGGUGGGGGUUGGAAAGUUUCGGCGGUUGGGGAUGGACUCGCGGCUUAUCAGCUUGUUGGUGGGGUAGUGGCUUACCAAGGCUUUGACGGGUAGCCGGCCUGAGAGGGUGACCGGCCACAUUGGGACUGAGAUACGGCCCAGACUCCUACGGGAGGCAGCAGUGGGGAAUAUUGCACAAUGGGCGGAAGCCUGAUGCAGCAACGCCGCGUGCGGGAUGCCGGCCUUCGGGUUGUAAACCGCUUUCGCCUGUGACGAAGCGUGAGUGACGGUAAUGGGUAAAGAAGCACCGGCUAACUACGUGCCAGCAGCCGCGGUGAUACGUAGGGUGCGAGCGUUGUCCGGAUUUAUUGGGCGUAAAGGGCUCGUAGGUGGUUGAUCGCGUCGGAAGUGUAAUCUUGGGGCUUAACCCUGAGCGUGCUUUCGAUACGGGUUGACUUGAGGAAGGUAGGGGAGAAUGGAAUUCCUGGUGGAGCGGUGGAAUGCGCAGAUAUCAGGAGGAACACCAGUGGCGAAGGCGGUUCUCUGGGCCUUUCCUGACGCUGAGGAGCGAAAGCGUGGGGAGCGAACAGGCUUAGAUACCCUGGUAGUCCACGCUGUAAACGGUGGGUACUAGGUGUGGGGUCCAUUCCACGGGUUCCGUGCCGUAGCUAACGCUUUAAGUACCCCGCCUGGGGAGUACGGCCGCAAGGCUAAAACUCAAAGGAAUUGACGGGGCCCCGCACAAGCGGCGGAGCAUGCGGAUUAAUUCGAUGCAACGCGUAGAACCUUACCUGGGUUUGACAUGGAUCGGGAGUGCUCAGAGAUGGGUGUGCCUCUUUUGGGGUCGGUCCACAGGUGGUGCAUGCCUGUCGUCAGCUCGUGUCGUGAGAUGUUGGGUUAAGUCCCGCAACGAGCGCAACCCUUGUUCACUGUUGCCAGCACGUUAUGGUGGGGACUCAGUGGAGACCGCCGGGGUCAACUCGGAGGAAGGUGGGGAUGACGUCAAGUCCUCAUGCCCCUUAUGUCCAGGGCUUCACGCAUGCUACAAUGGCUGGUACAGAGAGUGGCGAGCCUGUGAGGGUGAGCGAAUCUCGGAAAGCCGGUCUCAGUUCGGAUUGGGGUCUGCAACUCGACCUCAUGAAGUCGGAGUCGCUAGUAAUCGCAGAUCAGCAACGCUGCGGUGAAUACGUUCCCGGGGCU